GUAAACGGCGGCCGUAACUAUAACGGUCCUAAGGUAGCGAAAUUCCUUGUCGGGUAAGUUCCGACCUGCACGAAUGGCAUAACGAUGGCCACACUGUCUCCUCCCGAGACUCAGUGAAGUUGAAAUGUUUGUGAUGAUGCAAUCUACCCGCGGCUAGACGGGAAGACCCCAUGAACCUUUACUGCAGCUUUGCAUUGAACUGUGAACCGAUUUGUGUAGGAUAGGUGGGAGGCAGAGAAGAGGCCACGCCAGUGGCCUUGGAGCCGACCUUGAAAUACCACCCUGAUUUGUUUGCGGUUCUAACCACGGACAGUGAUCCUGUCUUGGGACCGUGCAUGGUAGGCAGUUUGACUGGGGCGGUCUCCUCCUAAAGGGUAACGGAGGAGUACGAAGGUACGCUAGGUACGGUCGGAAAUCGUGCUGAUAGUGCAAUGGCAAAAGCGUGCUUGACUGCGAGAGCAACAACUCGAGCAGAUGCGAAAGCAGGUCAUAGUGAUCCGGUGGCUCUGAAUGGAAGGGCCAUCGCUCAACGGAUAAAAGGUACUCUGGGGAUAACAGGCUGAUACCGCCCAAGAGUUCAUAUCGACGGCGGUGUUUGGCACCUCGAUGUCGGCUCAUCUCAUCCUGGGGCUGUAGUCGGUCCCAAGGGUAUGGCUGUUCGCCAUUUAAAGAGGUACGUGAGCUGGGUUUAAAACGUCGUGAGACAGUUUGGUCCCUAUCUGCCGUGGGCGUUGGAAGAUUGACGGGGGCUGCUCCUAGUACGAGAGGACCGGAGUGGACGCACCUCUGGUGUACCGGUUGUCACGCCAGUGGCAUUGCCGGGUAGCUAAGUGCGGAAGAGAUAACCGCUGAAAGCAUCUAAGCGGGAAACUUGCCUGAAGAUGAGUCUUCCCGGAGGUUGAACCUCCCUCAAGAGUCGUCCGAGACCAGGACGUCGAUAGGUCAGGUGUGUAAGCGCUGUAAGGCGUUGAGCUAACUGAUACUAAUUGCUCGUGAGGCUUGAUCCU
rnacentral:rRNA from 1 species